rnacentral:rRNA from 1 species
AAGGGCACCACAAGAACGCGUGGAGUAUGUGGCUUAAUUUGGCUCAACGCGGGGAAUCUUACCAGGUCCGGACACACAGAGGAUUGACAGGUGACUCAAAAAGUUCGCUUUUUGAAAAAUAUGCUAGUCCUUUCAUGAUCGUGUGAUAGGUGGUGCAUGGCCGUUCUUAGUUCGUGGAGCAAUCUGUCUGCUUAAUUGCGCUGUCAAGGCGGAUAAAAAGACAUUAUAAUCAUAUAUUCAUUUUACUUCUGUAUUAUGUUUUAUUGAUUGUCUGUAUUCCGCGCGCGCAACGAACGAGACCGCAACGUUUAAGUUGCUCUAUUUGCUUGUACUUCAGGAAAUUCUUUUUCGGAAGGACAUCAAUUUUCUGUACUCUCUUCGGAGGUCGGAAAACAAUAGAUGCUACACUAGACGGACAGCUAACAAUUCAAGUUAGAGGAAGGAUGCGGCAAUAACAGGUCUGUGAUGCCCUUUGAUGUUCUGGGCCGCACACGUACUACAAUGAUUCAAUCAGUAAGCAUCUCCAAAAUUUUCAGCUUAUUUGCUUUAAAUCAGUCUACUUCGAAAGUAAGUGGGCAAUCAAUUCGAAGUUUGGAUUUCCACCUAUAUUUAUUAUUAAGCUUUUCGCUUAAAAAUAAUAUUUGACUUUUACUUCGUAGUGGGGACAGACCAUUGUUAAUUGUUGGUCUCGGUCUUAACUAGGAAUGCCUUGUACGGGUCAUUGGUUCAACAAACCACCCGGAAUACGUCCCUGCCCUUUGUACACACCGCCCGUC